GGAACGAACGCUGGCGGCAUGCCUAAUACAUGCAAGUCGAACGAACACUUCGGUGUUAGUGGCGCACGGGUGCGUAACGCGUGGGAAUCUGCCCUUGGGUUCGGAAUAACAGUUGGAAACGACUGCUAAUACCGGAUGAUGACGAAAGUCCAAAGAUUUAUCGCCCAGGGAUGAGCCCGCGUAGGAUUAGCUAGUUGGUGAGGUAAAGGCUCACCAAGGCGACGAUCCUUAGCUGGUCUGAGAGGAUGAUCAGCCACACUGGGACUGAGACACGGCCCAGACUCCUACGGGAGGCAGCAGUAGGGAUAUGGACAUGGCGCAAGCCUGAUCCAGCAAUGCCGCGUGAGUGAUGAAGGCCGUUAGGGUUG
rnacentral:rRNA from 1 species